rnacentral:rRNA from 1 species
CCUACGGGGCGCAGCAGUGGGGGAUAUUGCACAAUGGGGGAAACCCUGAUGCGGCGACGCCGCGUGAGGGAAGACGGUUUUCGGAUUGUAAGCCUCUGUCUUUGGGGACGAAUUGAGACGGUACCCAAGGAGGAAGCUCCGGCUAACUACGUGCCAGCAGCCGCGGUAAUACGUAGGGAGCAAGCGUUGUCCGGAUUUACUGGGUGUAAAGGGAGCGUAGACGGCCAGACAAGUCUGAAGUGAAAAUCCAGCGCUUAACGUUGGAAGUGCUUUGGAAACUGCCGGGCUAGAGUGCAG